rnacentral:rRNA from 1 species
UACGGGGGGGGCAAGCGUUGUUCGGAAUUACUGGGCGUAAAGGGCUCGUAGGUGGCCAACUAAGUCAGACGUGAAAUCCCUCGGCUUAACCGGGGAACUGCGUCUGAUACUGGAUGGCUUGAGUUCGGGAGAGGGAUGCGGAAUUCCAGGUGUAGCGGUGAAAUGCGUAGAUAUCUGGAGGAACACCGGCGGCGAAGGCGGCAUCCUGGACCGGUAUUGACGCUGAUGCGCGAAAGCCAGGGGAGCAAACGGG